CCUCUCGCGUCAGGAUAUGCCCAGGUGGGAUUAGCUAGUUGGUGAGGUAAGGGCUCACCAAGGCAACGAUCCCUAGCUGGUCUGAGAGGAUGAUCAGCCACACUGGAACUGAGACACGGUCCAGACUCCUACGGGAGGCAGCAGUGGGGAAUAUUGCACAAUGGGCGCAAGCCUGAUGCAGCCAUGCCGCGUGUAUGAAGAAGGCCUUCGGGUGUAAAGUACUUUCAGCAGUGAGGAAGGUUCAUACGUUAAUAGCGUAUGGAUUUGACGUUAGCUGCAGAGGAAGCACCGGCUAACUCCGUG
rnacentral:rRNA from 1 species